rnacentral:lncRNA from 9 species
AUGAUGCUGGGCAGCAGCAGUGAACCACAGCUCCUAGUCAGCGACCCACCACGAGGGCAAACCACUGAUAUACUUACAAUUACUCUCUGGACCCAGCUCGUUUGCUUUUUCACUUUUGGUCUUUUUGGUUUGACCCAUGCUGUCCUAAAGAUGGACCACUUCUCAACCGUCACAUGCAUCCAGCACCUUUUGACCGACCUAUUUCUCUGGCUGGGGAAAUCCGGAUCGCCAGUGCUUCAGAGCUCCUGCAAGCCGUGCUGCCAGGAAUAUGCUGAGCAUGCCCCCUGCGGACCUGGGCAUAAGGUGCUCCAAGGUUUACACCAAGGUGAGAGUGGCUGGAUCACGGGCACCUGGCAUCGUAAUUGCUCCAAGUCCUGGCAUAUUGCCUCUGGGAGGGCAGAACCUGUUUAUGGUUCUGUCAACAGUGUCUGAAAAAUCCUGUUGGGAAAACUAAUUAAAAUAGCUUUGAGAAUUCUUGGGUAAAGCAGAUAUUAUUUUGGCAAGGUGAACACUGCCCUCUAAGUCAUGUUUGGGCUUGCAGACAACUAGGUGGCAUAAUCCAAGUUUCCCCUGGAUUUCCCGGGAUAAUCAGGGUGGAGUCCUGCCUGGCCCAUGGAGGGGACUUAGGCUGGAAGUGGGGAAACAUUUUGAAGCAGGGAAAGACUUGAACCCCCAGAGAUCCUGGAAGUUAAAAUAACCACUGGGAAUUUUGCAUGAAUGGGAGGCAAAGGGGACAUCCCCUGGUAUGGAACCUGGUACUCAACUAAAGUAUCAGUGAAGGAAGGAAGGAGUAAUUGGCCUGUGCCUCUGCACACUUGCCGGGACUGGGGUCUGUGCUUCUGGGAACCUCAAACUGUAUUUCCCAUUGGCUCUGCCAGCUGGAAAUGCACACUAAUGAAAGGACAACCUGUGUCUUUGAGGCCACCAACCCCCUUCCCUUGAUCGCCCUGCUUAUCUCUUCCAGCCUCUCACCAAGCAUUCAUUCAUUUGUUCACAAAAUACCCCUAGGCACCUAAUGGGCCAGACUUUGCGCUAAGCUCCCGAAAGGACCCCGGGAUGUUCACGGGAUGGCACUAUUCGUCAGUGUGGUGCCCUCAGCCUGGUGACACCUGCCUUUGUUACGGGGCCUCUGUGUUGGUUGGAGCCCCUUCCCCGAUCAUCCAGGGUCAACCAGCCCCACCCCUGCGGUAUUUUCCAUUGCCCGUCUGGACUUCCCUUUGGGGGCGUUUAUUGCAAUAAGUGCAUGUCUAUUUAUUUCUGUAAUUAUUUAAAAAAAUGGAAAACCUGGAGUUCCCGUUGUGGUGCAGUGGUUAACGAAUCCAACUAAGAACCAUGAGGUUGCGGGUUUGAUCCCUGGCUUUGCUCAGUGGGUUAAGGAUCCGUCAUUGCCGUGAGCUGUGGUGUAGGUCACAGACGCGGCUUGGAUCCCGUGUUGCUGUGGCUCUGGCGUAGGCCUGUGGCUACAGCUCCGAUUAGACCCCUAGCCUGGGAACCUCCAUAUGCCGCAGGAGUGGCCCCAGAAAAGGCAAAAAAAAAAAAAAAAAAAAAAGGGAAAAACCUAACCUGCUAACUUGUGACUGUUUUAUUCACAGGUAUAUGUGCCUGGCACAUAACAAGUGCUCAAUAAAUACUGCCAUGUGACCGUCAGAUGAAUAAGAGCUGAAAGGAAGUUACCUGCAGCUUUUUUUUUUUUUUUUUUUUGGUCUUUUUGCUAUUUCUUGGGCCGCUCACGCGGCAUAUGGAGGUUCCCAGGCUAGGGGUCUAAUCGGAGCCGUAGCCACCGGCCUCCACCACAGCCACAGCAACUUGGGAUCCGAGCCGCAUCUGCAACCUACACCACAGCUCACGGCAACACCGGAUCGUUAACCCACUGAGCAAGGGCAGGGACCGAACCUGCAACCUCAUGGUUCCUAGUCAGAUUCGUUAACCACUGGGCCACGACGGGAACUCCACCUGCAGCUUUUUGAGGAGGGAGAAACCACCUCUGUCUGGGGCCAGAAGGCAGGACUUCCUGGGGGUGGCGGUGAGCCCAGAGAAGCGUUUACCAACGGGAUACAGGAAUUCCCGGCAGAGAGAGCGACAUGGAACUAGAUGGCGCUACACGGUUCCGGGAACUGAGGAUGAGUUGGUGGGAACCGCUGUGGAGGACUUUGGGCUUUGUAGGUGGAGGGUUUUUUUUUUUUUUAACUUUUUAUUGAAGCGCAAUGUAAAGAAAGGUGCUUACAUUGUAAAUGUCCAGCAGGAUGAAUUGUUACAAGCUAAACACACCUGUGCAAAUAGUGCCCAGAUCCAGAGAUAAGACACUGCCCGCACCCAAGAAACCCCCCUCGUCCUUCCCCUCGUUCCUCCCUUUUUGCCCAAAGAGCACCCCUGUCCUGACUUUAGUAGUUUCUUUCCUCUCUUUUUUCUUGACAUUCACAGAAAUGGAUUCACACAGUAUUUACUUCUUUGUGUCCAGCUCCUUCCUCCCCAGACUCUGUGACAGGCGUCUAAUAAUCCCAUUCCAUGCUACUGCAGAUAGACAUCCUGGUUAUUUCUGGGUUGUGGCUGCUGUAAAUAAAACAGAAUAAAAACAUGCAUUAAAAACAUCUUGUGGAUGUCUUUCAAGGGACAAAUGUAGGCAUUUCUGUUGGACAUACGCCCAGGAGGGGCACUGCUGGAUAUAGGGUAGCCUAGGCUCAACUUUAGCAAGACAGUGCCAAACUGUGGUUGUACCCAGUAUGCCCCCUUCAGCAGCAGUGUUCUCAGAAUUCCAGUUGCUCCACAUCCUCACCAACACUUGAUAUUUUUUAUGAUUUUUUUUUUUUUUUUGGUCUUUUUAGGGCCGCAUCCACAGCACAUGGAAGUUCCCAGACUAGGGAUUGAAGCUGAGUUGCAGCUGCGGCUACACCACAGCCACAGCAACAUGGGAUCCGAGCCGCAUCUGUGACCUACACCACAGCUCAUGGCAACCCCAGAUCCUUAACCCACUGAGCAAGGCCAGGGAUCAAACCCGAGUCCUCAUGGAUCCUAGUUGGGUUCAUUACUGCUGAGCCACACUGGGAACUCCUCUAUGAUUUUUAUUUUAGUAGUUUUGGCAGGUGUUUAGUGGCAUCUCAUUGUGGUUUAAUUUUGCACUCUCCUGAUGACUGACUAACAAUGUUUUCAUGUGUUGAUAGGCCGUAUGGGGAACCUCUUUUGUGAUGGGGCUGUUCAAAAUGUCUUGCCCAUUUUCCACCAGUUGCCUCUCUUUUUCUUAUUGAUUCAUAGAAGUUCUUUGUAUAUUAUGGCUAAGAGACCUUCAUCAGGUACACAUUUUGUCAAGUACUCACUGAAGGAUUCAGCACCAGGGACUGAUAUGGGUGAACUGUGUUUCUAAAAGCUUCCCCUGGCUGUGGAUGCAGAGCAGACUGACCAUGAGAUGGGCAAGGGGGGGGGUGAUGGUGGAGGUGACCAGGGCAGCAGCUGUGCGGCUGGACAGCAGGGGCCAGAGUCUAAGCUACUUCAGCAGCAGCAUGGACAAGCAACAUCUGUCAUGCCAUGUCAUGACGAAAACAAGACAUGUGUAGUGACAGAGAGAGGGGGUGACAGGGCUGGCUUCCAGGUCUCCCUGGCUGGCGGACAAGCUGACGCAUUCUGCCCACCCAGCCGCCGGCAGCCAAAGGCUGCUUUGUCCUCCCAGGCCCCACCCAGGCCUGCUGGUCAGGGAUGCUCUGGGGUCACCGUCGGGACACUGGAGAGAGUGCCCAGUGUAGAAUCUGGGUCUCCCAUGGCAACUGGGGGAUAAACACCCCCCAACACACACUCACAAAUGGCUGGGCUGGUUCAAGAAGACCCUGUACCCCAGAUGGGUUGGCAGCUGUGGGAUCAGGGCCCAGUCUGGGUGGACAAUGACCCCCUUUCUGCAGCCUCUUCAUCCCUGCUGAGCCCAGGCUCAGGGGAUGAGGGUCCUAGGCUGGUCCCUGAGGAAAGAGUGGAAACAGAUCCUGCAGUGUCUGGGCUUCCGAUGAGCGGUGGGGACAGCACUCUGAAUGCCUCCCAGAAAGCCAGGAC